GCGGGCAUAGUUUAGCGGUAAAACGAAUGCUUCCCAAGCCUUAAUCACGGGUUCGAUUCCCGUUGCCCGCUCCA
rnacentral:tRNA from 1 species